rnacentral:rRNA from 1 species
GACGAACGCUGGCGGCGUGCUUAACACAUGCAAGUCGUACGGUAAGGCCCUUUCGGGGGUACACGAGUGGCGAACGGGUGAGUAACACGUGAGUAACCUGCCCACAACUUUGGGAUAACGCUAGGAAACUGGUGCUAAUACUGGAUAUGUGCUCCUGCUGCAUGGUGGGGGUUGGAAAGCUCCGGCGGUUGUGGAUGGACUCGCGGCCUAUCAGCUUGUUGGUGGGGUAGUGGCCUACCAAGGCGGCGACGGGGAGCCGGCCUGAGAGGGUGACCGGCCACAAUGGGACUGAGAUACGGCCCAGACUCCUACGGGAGGCAGCAGGGGGGAAUAUUGCACAAGGGGCGCAAGCCUGAUGCAGCAACGCCGCGGGCGGGAUGACGGCCUUCGGGUUGUAAACCGCUUUCAGCAGGGACGAAGCUUUUUGUGACGGUACCUGCAGAAGAAGCACCGGCUAACUACGUG